rnacentral:rRNA from 1 species
AGAAACAUGGCGGCAGCCUUACAAUGCAGUCGAACGGCAGCACGGACUUCGGUCUGGUGGCGAGUGGCGAACGGGUGAGUAAUGCAUCGGAACGUGCCAUUGAGUGGGGGAUAACGUAGCGAAAGUUGCGCUAAUACCGCAUAUUCUGUGAGCAGGAAAGCAGGGGACCGCAAGGCCUUGCGCUCUUUGAGCGGCCGAUGUCAGAUUAGCUAGUUGGUGAGGUAAAGGCUUACCAAGGCGACGAUCUGUAGCGGGUCUGAGAGGAUGAUCCGCCACACUGGAACUGAGACACGGUCCAGACUCCUACGGGAGGCAGCAGUGGGGAAUUUUGGACAAUGGGGGCAACCCUGAUCCAGCCAUGCCGCGUGAGUGAAGAAGGCCUUCGGGUUGUAAAGCUCUUUCGGCCGGGAAGAAAUCGCAUGGGCCAAUACCCUGUGUGGAUGACGGUACCGGAAUAAGAAGCACCGGCUAACUACGUGCCAGCAGCCGCGGUAAUACGUAGGGUGCGAGCGUUAAUCGGAAUUACUGGGCGUAAAGCGUGCGCAGGCGGUUUUGUAAGACAGGCGUGAAAUCCCCGGGCUUAACCUGGGAACUGCGUUUGUGACUGCAAGGCUAGAGUACGGCAGAGGGGGGUGGAAUUCCACGUGUAGCAGUGAAAUGCGUAGAGAUGUGGAGGAACACCAAUGGCGAAGGCAGCCCCCUGGGUCGAUACUGACGCUCAUGCACGAAAGCGUGGGUAGCAAACAGGAUUAGAUACCCUGGUAGUCCACGCCCUAAACUAUGUCAACUAGGUGUUGGGUGGGUAAAACCAUUUAGUACCGUAGCUAACGCGUGAAGUUGACCGCCUGGGGAGUACGGCCGCAAGGUUAAAACUCAAAGGAAUUGACGGGGACCCGCACAAGCGGUGGAUGAUGUGGAUUAAUUCGAUGCAACGCGAAAAACCUUACCUACCCUUGACAUGCCAGGAACUUGCCAGAGAUGGCUUGGUGCCCGAAAGGGAGCCUGGACACAGUGCUGCAUGGCUGUCGUCAGCUCGUGUCGUGAGAUGUUGGGUUAAGUCCCGCAACGAGCGCAACCCUUGUCGUUAAUUGCCAUCAUUUAGUUGGGCCACUUUAACGAGACUGCCC